UAGGGAAUUUUCCACAAUGGGCGAAAGCCUGAUGGAGCAACGCCGCGUGCAGGAUGAAGGCUUUCGGGUCGUAAACUGCUUUUCUGAUCGACGAUUAUGACGGUAGGUCAGGAAUAAGGGUCUGCUAACUACGUGCCAGCAGCCGCGGUCAUACGUGGGACCCAAGCGUUAUCCGGAAUUACUGGGCGUAAAGAGUUGCGUAGGUGGCAGAGUAAGCAAGAUAUGAAAGCGUGUGGCUCAACCAUACAUGGCAUAUUUUGAACUGCUCAGCUAGAGUAUGGGAGAGGUAGAUGGAAUUUCUAGUGUAGGAGUGAAAUCCGUAGAUAUUAGAAGGAACACCGAUGGCGUAGGCAGUCUACUGGCCCAUUACUGACACUAAGGCACGAAAGCGUGGGGAGCGAACGGGAUUAGAUACCCCCGUAGUCC
rnacentral:rRNA from 1 species